CCUACGGGGAGGCAGCGGUAGGGAAUCUUCCACAAUGGGCGAAAGCCUGAUGGAGCAACGCCGCUGGGGUGAAGCAGGUCUUCGGAUCGUAAAACCCUGUUGUUAGAGAAGAAAGUGCGUGAGAGUAACUGUUCACGUUUCGACGGUAUCUACCCAGAAAGCCACGACUAACUACGUGCAAGCAGCCGCGGUAAUACGUAGGUGGCAAGCGUUAUCCGGAUUUAUUGGGCGUAAAGGGAACGCAGGCGGUCUUUUAAGUCUGAUGUGAAAGCCUGCGUCUUAACCGGAGUAGUGCAUUGGAAACGGGGGGACUUGAGUGCAGAAGAGGAGAGUGGAACUCCAUGUGUAGCGGUGAAAUGCGUAGAUAUAUGGAAGAACACCAGGGGCGAAAGCGGCUCUCUGGUCUGUAACUGACGCUGAGGUUCGAAAGCGUGGGUAGCAAACAGGAUUAGAUACCCUUGUAGUC
rnacentral:rRNA from 1 species